GCCGGAAUAGCUCAGUGGUAGAGCGUAUCACUCGUAAGACAGCAAUGUCCUGGCGACAUGAUAAGGUCCACGGUUCAAUCCCGUGUUUCGGCA